GAUGAACGCUGGCGGCGUGCCUAAUACAUGCAAGUCGAGCGAACAGACGAGGAGCUUGCUCCUCUGACGUUAGCGGCGGACGGGUGAGUAACACGUGGAUAACCUACCUAUAUGACUGGUAUAACUUCGGGAAACCGGAUCUAAUACCGGAUAAUCUAUUCAACCGCAUGGUUCAAUAGUGAAAGACGGUUUUGCUGUCACUUAUAGAUGGAUCCGCGCCGCAUUAGCUAGUUGGUAAGGUCACGGCUUACCAAGGCAACGAUGCGUAGCCGACCUGAGAGGGUGAUCGGCCACACGGGAACUGAGACACGGUCCAGACUCCUACGGGAGGCAGCAGUAGGGAAUCUUCCGCAAUGGGCGAAAGCUUGACGGAGCAACGCCGCGUGAGUGAUGAAGGUCUUCGGAUCGUAAAACUCUGUUAUUAGGGAAGAACAAAUGUGUAAGUAACUAUGCACGUCUUGACGGUACCUAAUCAGAAAGCCACGGCUAACUACGUG
rnacentral:rRNA from 1 species